AAAAGCCCCUCAUAUGGAAACAUACUCGCCUCUGCAGGGCCCAGAGUCGGGGCUGAGGCUCCCCGGGUGAUAACUCAUGCAGCAUGGGUCGCUUGGGCAGGGGGGGCAUGGCUGAAAUACUGUUCUCGGGCUCUGCCCCUGACAGCCUGCUUCUUUCCAAUUACCCUGGUGACUGCAGUGAUAAAUCCUGUCCGCCCAAGUCUGGAUGCUGGGCACGCUGGGCCCUACCUCCUCCCUUCUGAGUGGACCCUGGGCCUUCUUCCUUGCAGACCCUCCUGCCCCUGACUCUGUAGGACAGAGGAGCCAGGUGCCCUAAUGCUUUGUUCUGGGCUAAAUUGUGCCCCCCUCCCCCACCCCAUUCAUAGGCAGAAGUCCUAGCUCCCAGCACCUCCCAAUGUGGCUGUCUGUGGAGGUGGGGUUUUCAGAGGCGUGAUUAAGUAACAAGAGAUCACUAGGGUGGGCCCUAAUUCAGUAUGAUUGUUGUCCUUGCGGGAAGAGGAAAUGUGGGGACACCUGGGUGGCUCAGUCCGUUGAGCAUUGCGACUCAGGUCCUGAUCUUGCGGGUUCGUGAGUUCAAGACCCACGUCCGGGGGCUGUGCUGACAGCUCAGAUCCUGGAGCUUGCUUCAGAUUCUCUGUCUCCCUCUCUCUCUGCUUCUUGCCUGCUCAUGUCAUGGAAACACGCACGUGGCAGUGUGCCCACCACAGAGAGAGGCCACAGAAGAAACCAGCCUGCCUGACACCUUGCUCCUGGACUCCCAACCUCCAGGACUGUGACGGGACAGGAGAAAUCCCUGUUGUUCAAGCUGCCAGGUCAGGGGCGGCCCGGGCCCGUUAAGUGGCACGUGCUCCCACCGGGCCCUGGGACCUUGGGGCCAGCCCACGAUGACGUAGCACUCGUUUGCAAGCUUUAUUUCCUUGACCGCACGGCUGAUUUUUCCACAUGAAACCCUAUGUCGCUCCUCAAAUGUAUAACAGAAAAGUGGGAGUGUUCUGGCUGUGCUGUUCAGCAUCCUUAUUCUCAACGCCCCUGCAGCCCCGGGCGCUUUCCUUAGAGGACCCUGUAAACACCCCUGCACAGAAGAGUGCUACUCAUUUUGCAGAAGAGUAACUUCUGCAGAAAAACGUGAAAUGUGUUACUUCUUUUCCUCUCGGUGCUGCUAUAUGCCUCAUGGCUCCAGAGAAUCAGUGCAGUCCAGAGUCAGGAGAUGCGGUGUAGAGUGGAACGCUGGGUUUGCAGGCCCAUGCCAGGGCUCAAGUCCCUCCUCUCCACUCCCUGGCCAAGUGCCAUUUGAACAGGUCACCUGAGCUCUACGAGCCACGUUUUCUCCUCUGUAAAGCGGCACAAGGUGCUGAGAUUGUGCAUGAGUCCAGAAGCCGCCUUGUAGAAUAAACAUGAGUUUCGGAGUCAGACAGUUCCACGUUUGAACCCGGCUCUGCUGCCUCGUAGCUGUGUGGCCUUGGGGAUGAACUUCCCGGAGCUGGCUGGCAGCUGUGCGUUCUGCAGGAGCAGCCCCCUGGCCCCAGAAAUGCAAUAAAACGAGAACACGCCUCAUGUUGCAGGGGGCUGUCUAUCAUCCUGGAGUUUCAGUGUUUCAGAAUCGCAGCGGCCACAGCUUUUGGGAGAAAAGAUCACAGGUCCUUGGUGUUCAGCAUGGUUUUCUCAGCAAGGAUCCCGACCAGUAGGAGCUGCUCAGAAGUGUAUGUCCUGCCCACCCCGCCCCUUCCAGGGCCCCCUGCAUUAGACACUGCAGUUGGGGGCCAGCAGCUGACCCCUGACAAGCCCUCCAGGGAAUAAUUCAUCGCGUGUGCCCUGCACGGCUGGGAGAGAGCUGGGGAAGUGGGCAUGUGAGAGGCUCAGCUACCGGAUUUCUUCCCUUACAGCCCGGCUGCCAUAGGCUAGGAUCACCUUUCUCUGCAUCGUCUUAACUAAGGUCAGCCCUGGUGUCUGUUCAAACGACAAACGCUCAGUCCCCUUGACCUUUAGGAAUCUAUCCUGGUACAAACGAAAUGGCCAGAAUGUUAGGAUAUGUGUGCAAAGAUAUUUACUGGUGUGUUGUCUGCCCUGGCAAUAAUUGGAAACAUUACUUUACCAAUAGGUGAAUAAUAGAAUCAAUUCGGGCACAUUCAGUAUUAUGGAACAUCAUGGGUCAUUACGAAGAAUUAGGUAGAUCUCCCUGUAUUGAUCUGGGAGGCACACUAUCUAUUGUUCAGCAAUAAAGCAACUUGCUGAUUCAUACCUGU